CCUACGGGAGGCUGCAGUGAGGAAUAUUGGUCAAUGGGCGUAAGCCUGAACCAGCCAAGUCGCGUGAGGGAUGAAGGUUCUAUGGAUCGUAAACCUCUUUUAUAAGGGAAUAAAGUGUGGGACGUGUCCUAUUUUGUAUGUUCCUUAUGAAUAAGGCUCGGCUAACUCCGUGCCCGCCGCCGCGGUAAUACGGAGGAUCCGAGCGUUAUCCCGUUUUAUUGGGUUUAAAGGGUGCGUAGGCGGCGUUUUAAGUCAGCGGUGAAAGUCUGUGGCCCAACCAUCGAAUGGCCGUUGAAACUGGGGGGCUUGAGUAGGUUAGAGGAAGGCGGAAUGCGUGGUGUAGCGGUGAAAUGCUUAGAUAUCACGCAGAACCCCGAUUGCGAAGGCAGCCUGCCAGGCCAUGACUGACGCUGAUGCACGAAAGCGUGGGGAUCAAACAGGAUUAGAUACCCCAGUAGUC
rnacentral:rRNA from 1 species